CCUACGGGGGGCAGCAGUGGGGAAUAUUGCACAAUGGGGGAAACCCUGAUGCAGCAACGCCGCGUGAGCGAUGAAGGCCUUCGGGUCGUAAAGCUCUGUCCUAAGGGAAGAAUACUGACGGUACCUUAGGAGGAAGCCCCGGCCAACUACGUGCCAGCAGCCGCGGUAAUACGUAGGGGGCUAGCGUUAUCCGGAAUUACUGGGCGUAAAGGAGGAAUAGGCGGCGCUUCAAAUCAGAGGUUAAAGGCUACGGCUCAACCGUAGUAAGCCUUGGAAACUGUAGGGCUUGAUUGCAGGAGAGGAGAGUGGAAUUCCCAGUGUAGCAGGGAAAUGCGUAGAUAUUGGGAGGAACACCAGUUGCGAAGGCGGCUCUCUGGACUGUAACUGACGCUGAGGCACGAAAGCGUGGGGAGCGAACAGGAUUAGAUACCCUAGUAGUC
rnacentral:rRNA from 1 species